AUCGAACGCUGGCGGCAGGCCUAACACAUGCAAGUCGAGCGGAGAGGCGGAAGGGGGAGUAAUGCCGAGGAAUCUGCCUGGUAGUGGGGGAUCAAGUCCGGAAACGGGCGCCAAUACCGCAUACUAUCAGAUGGGCCUAGGUUGGAUUAGGUAGUUGGUGGGGUAAAGGCCUACCAAGGCGACGAUCCGUAACUGAUCUGAGAGGAUGAUCAGUCACACUGGAACUGGGACACGGUCCAGACUCCUACGGGAGGCAGCAGUGGGGAAUAUUGGACAAUGGACGAAAGUCUGAUCCAGCCAGGCCGCGUGUGUGAAGAAGGUCUUCGGAUUUGAAAUCCCUGUAGUUUGAGAUGCGUUACCAACAGAGUAAGCACCGGCUAACUCCGUGCCAGCAGCCGCGGUAAUAC
rnacentral:rRNA from 1 species